rnacentral:lncRNA from 1 species
UGACCGCCUGGUUGGGGGUGGGGGGCAGAGCCCUGGGGGCUAAGGCUGUGCGGCCUGAGCAUUCCUCGGCCCAGGGCGACCCCGGGUCCCGGGAUCGAGUCCUGCCCCGCCCUCCCCGCGGGGAGCCCGCUGCCCCCUCCCCGGGUGUCUGCCUCUCUCUGGGGGCCCCGUGAGUACACAAAUCACAUCUUUAAAGUAAAAUAUGUAAAAUAAAGAUCCGUGGAGGAUGGAGACCGCCCGAAGCCACAAGCCGGCAGCGGGUCCGGUGCAGCCUCCUGGGGGCCGCUGGGGGGCGUGGCCGGGGGGGCGCGAGUGCGAGGCCGCGGGGCCCGGGGGGGGGGGGGGGGCACGAGCCCAGCCGGUGGUGUUCCCGGCUCCCCGGGCUGCGUGCGGCCGUUUGCGCGGCUCAUCGCGGAAGCGUCCUCGUCCUCGUCCUCGUCCUCGUCCUCGGGGAGCCUGGAAGCUCAGAAAAAAACAGGCCGCGUUUUAGACUUGACCAUUGACCUAACUGUGCCACGUACGUUGCCAUCCAAGUACUAAAGAGCAAAGCAUCCUGGAGUGAUACCGGGUGACCUGCGGACUCGACCUUUCUGUGCCUGCGUCUUCACUGAUUAAACAAGAGGAUUGAGCUAACACCUCCUUGAGCUCUGAGAGCCUAUGCUUGCAGGCUCUCUAUCUGCGCGGGUCCCUUUGUGAUCAAACUUGGAUCUGUGGUGGAAAACGUGUUUAGCAGGGGAGACGCGCCAUAUGUAUUUCCAAACUGCGACAUCUCCUUGCCUAUGCUUUCCUAUAAAUAGAAAAAUGGGGGGACUCCCUAUUUUUCCAGAGUCCCCCUCCGUCUUUUGCACUGGGAACAGACAUGCUUCAUCACUGACAACAGGUCACAAGGGAUACGAGCCAACAUGUCGAAUCCCGGUGGGGGUCUUUCUUCUGCAUUACUUACCUUGGAGACACUAUGGAGAAGCUGGGAGAGGAACACGAGGGACCAAGAUACACAGAAAACCCCUGGAAAAAA